UCUUAAGUUGACUUAUUUAGGAGAUGGC
rnacentral:piRNA from 1 species